rnacentral:rRNA from 1 species
GGCCCGCACAAGCGGUGGAGCAUGUGGUUUAAUUCGAUGCAACGCGAAGAACCCUACCUACUCUUGACAUCCAGAGAAUUUAGCAGAGAUGCUUUAGUGCCUUCGGGAACUCUGAGACAGGUGCUGCAUGGCUGUCGUCAGCUCGUGUUGUGAAAUGUUGGGUUAAGUCCCGCAACGAGCGCAACCCUUAUCCUUUGUUGCCAGCGAUUCGGUCGGGAACUCAAAGGAGACUGCCGGUGAUAAACCGGAGGAAGGUGGGGAUGACGUCAAGUCAUCAUGGCCCUUACGAGUAGGGCUACACACGUGCUACAAUGGCGUAUACAAAGAGAAGCGACCUCGCGAGAGCAAGCGGAACUCAUAAAGUACGUCGUAGUCCGGAUUGGAGUCUGCAACUCGACUCCAUGAAGUCGGAAUCGCUAGUAAUCGUAGAUCAGAAUGCUACGGUGAAUACGUUCCCGGGCCUUGUACACACCGCCCGUCACACCAUGGGAGUGGGUUGCAAAAGAAGUAGGUAGCUUAACCUUCGGGAGGGCGCUUACCACUUUGUGAUUCAUGA